rnacentral:rRNA from 1 species
CCCUUAGAGUUUGAUCCUGGCUCAGAAUGAACGUUGGCGGCGUGGAUUAGGCAUGCAAGUCGAGCGAGAACCGGCCUUCGGGCCGGGGAAAGCGGCAAACGGGGUAGGAAUACGUCGGUACGUACCCUCCAGUCUGGGAUAGCCACGGGAAACUGUGGGUAAUACCGGAUGAUCUCUGUUCCCGGAAGGGGACUGAGCAAAGGUGAGAUUCCGCUGGGGGAGCGGCUGACGCAGUAUUAGCUAGUUGGUAGGGUAAUGGCCUACCAAGGCGAUGAUGCUUAGGGGGUGUGAGAGCAUGGCCCCCACCACUGGCACUGAGACACUGGCCAGACACUUACGGGUGGCUGCAGUCGAGAAUCUUCGGCAAUGGGCGCAAGCCUGACCGAGCGACGCCGCGUGCGGGAUGAAGGCCCUUGGGUUGUAAACCGCUGUCAGGGGGGAUGAAAUGCACGGGGGUACUCCCCUGUGUUUGACAGAGCCCCAGAGGAAGCACGGGCUAAGUUCGUGCCAGCAGCCGCGGUAAUACGAACUGUGCGAACGUUAUUCGGAAUCACUGGGCUUACAGGGUGCGUAGGCGGUCGAUGGAGUAGGGUGUGAAAUGCCUUGGCUCAACCAAGGCACAGCGCUCUAAACUGAUUGACUGGAGCGAGCUAGGGGUAUACGGAACUUCCGGUGGAGCGGUGAAAUGUGUUGAUAUCGGAAGGAACGCCGGUGGCGAAAGCGGUAUACUGGGGCUUGUCUGACGCUGAGCACGAAAGC